CUGACUGCUGGAUCAUUUAUUCAUUUCAUCAUUGGAUAGGUCUUCCUUUGUCUGUACUCUGUUGUUAAGAUGCCGAAAGUGCGGUAUCAGAAACCCAUAGUAAUCUAUUAUAUUACAAAAGGCGACGUUUAUCGCCAAACAGCUGCUGCAUGUGUUCUGAAACAUACACGUUCUUCAAUCAUUUGAAUCCACUCCGGGUUACUGACCGUCUCUUAAAAUUACGGCCUUAAAAAUAUGAAAACGUGUUGCCCCUGCAUCUUUUCUAAAGUCAGCUGUCUACUUCCAAUAACGCUUCGCUUCAGUGUUUUAUAUGUUGGAAUCUAGCAAAGGUCUUUGUGGUCCAUAUAGGCCUACAUUACCAAUAAUUUCCAAUGGACGCGUGCCCAACUGCCUCUUACAUUUCAUUUCCAUGUUGUGUUAUCAGCAUCAGAUAGAAGACUGCUUUUAUACAGAUCCAACAGUGGUCUUGCCUUCUAAAAGUCUAAUCUUACUAGCAUAACUAAUGCGCCCUAUAUACAUCCCACACUGCUUACUCCAUUCAAGUCAUUGUCUCCCUCUAUAAUUUUAACCCUCAACUCAUCCUCCGUUGGAAUGUUCAGUUGGCAGACGAGAAGAUUUGCAGAACAUGUAAAGUCUUAUAGGAAAGUAUAUUGUCAGGUCAUUGUGAAGCAAAGCUUCUUAGAAAUGAUAAUAUAAUAAGAAUGUCUGGUAACAAAUCAAAAUAUGUAUGGGAUAUUGUAAAACGUGAAAGAGGGGAGAUACAUGAAGAGCAGGAAACUACUCUUACCAAUUUUGAUGAUAUCAAAUUUGGCAAAGACGCCCUGCUAAAUUACAUAAAAUAUUACUUUAUAUAAACGCUUUCCAAACACUUAGCUUAAAUUUCACUUAUCAGGAUCUAUUUGGGGUUUGCAUACAGCAUGAGGUUCGUUCCAACUAAUGAGCAGGAAGCAGUAAAGGCCUCCAAUGCAAAAUGUUACCUGGUGUAUAUGAUUUUUCAGUGUCACUUGUAAUCCAGACUGCUACACAAAUUUCAAAGCUCUUGAUUCACUGAGUGUAUGUACCUUGAAAGAAUAAAAAUAUCAAAGACAAUACCUUUAUUCAAGUGUGGAAAUACGCAUAAAGUUGAAAACUCCUCUUGGCAUUCUCUAAAGUAGUAGAGCGAUUAAUGAAACAAAGAAUCACCAAGUACUUAAAUGGCCACAGCCUGCUGAAUGGCAAUUGAAAAUCAGAGUGGCUUUCAAAUGAUAAAUGAUUACACCGAUGAAAUUGUUAGUAAUUUGGAUAACAACAAUGGUGCUGUCAGAGUUAAUAUAGGUCUCUCUAAAGCUUUUGAUAUGGUUAAUGAUAAAUUCUUUUAAAUUAGUUGGAUGCAAUGGGAAAAAAGAAAUAAAAAAUUGGGCUCAAAUAAUAUGUGCAAAAUAAGUUACAUGUUGUGGAGCUCACAUCAACUCAUGCUACUGAUAAAAUUGGAAUAGUAUCUGAUGCAAGGAAAGUUGAAAUAGGUGCACCCCAGGGUAGUGUGUUAUUCCACCUUCUGUUCCUUAUUUAUGUAAAUGAUACACAUCUGAAACAUUGCCACCAAGAUGAAGUUGUUUGCAGAUGACACUAGUGUAGUAACGAGUGAUGUUAAGGAAUCUCUGUCCGCAGCUAUUGAUAAAAGUCCUUAAUUCAUGCAUUGCAAACAAUCUGACACCAAACAUAAGAAAAACAAACUAUAUACAAUUUGUGAAUAUGGGUAAAUUCAAAAAGAUCUACAUCUGGUACUGGGUGGAAAUAAGUAGAAGGGGUACAGUGCAUGAUGCUUUUAGGAAUGAAUGUUGACCAAGACUUAAAUGGGAAAGACCAUGUAACUAAUAUUUCCCAGAAAUUCAGUUAUGCAUGUUUUGCUUUGAGAAUUAUUUCUAAAGUUUGCUCCCCAGAUGGUGCUAGAAUGGCUUAUUUUAAUUACUUCCAGUCCCUUGUAGCUAUUGGAAUAGAUUUCUGGGGUAAAAUUAAUACUUGAUUAAAUGAAAUUUCUGCAUUACAGAAAAGAGUUAUUUGAAUCUUGUCAUAUAUGGUAGCUUGGCUAUGGCUCACAGCAAGCCUUUAUUUAAAAAGUUGUUUUUGCUUAAUAUUCCCUUCAUGUACAAAUGCAAAUGUGUGUUGAUGAGAGGAGUUAGCCUUGGUGACCUGCUAACCCAUUCUGAUUACCACCAUUAUAAUACAACUGUGCAUCCAUCCAUGUAGAACAAGUUAGAACAACCCACACUCCAAGACAUGUGAGGCUCUUUGAUACAAUUCUUUACAAUGUCCUUCCAACAUACAUAUAGAGGCUGGAGAUGGAAGAGGCUUCCGGAUAACGAGUUAAAAUCAUUUCUGGUUGAGAAGUAUUUCUACAAUGUAAAUGAAUAUGUUAGCUCAUGGGACUACUGGGCCUUCAUUCAUAUUCAUUGUUCAGUUAUUUUGACUCUGUUAACUGAUGUACCAUUGGUGAUAUGUUUGUGUUUGCAAAGAAUGUUUCUGCUGUAGGUUUUCUGUUUCAGAUGCUGUGUGACACACCUCUGCUGAGAAAGGAUCUGGUGCCAACCUAAUUGUGAUGAUUAUGGCAGUGCUGUAUAAUGUGCUCUUGUGUUUUAUUUUUCAAGGAUUUGCCGCAGAAUGCAGCCAGGUUUAUAAAUACAUUUAAUCAUGAUUACAAGAAUUGGGGCAAUAUUCCAUCGAUUCAGACAGAAGAGCUUUUGAACUGAAAAGGUUUGACUUCACUCAAGUUGUUUACCAUUAUGCUGAAUUUAAGAAUAAAGAGCAUUGAUUCAGCAAAGCUAAAAAGAUGGCAGGGAAAGAUUUUAUUCAAAAUUUCAUGACACAUUUUUAAUUUUCUGUUUGUAUACCAGAACUUACGCUGGGAGCUAGAUUGGCUGCAUUUAGUUAAGUGAAUUUAGAGGGAUUUUCUAAUUUAUGCAGAGAAAUAAGAACAAAAUGCAAAUUUGAGCCCUGCAAGAUCUUUAACGUUGAUGAGACAGGAUUUUCAACAGUUCCCGCGAAGGUACCACCAGUAUCAAGCUCUGAUGGCAAAGGAAAGGUAGGAAAGGUUUCCUCUGCUGAGUGGAGAACAAGUAUUAGCAUUGCUUGCUGUGUUAGUGUCACAGUCAGUUCGUACCUCCACUUUUUAUUUAUCUUAGGGUCAGAAUGUGUGUGGUGUAACAGACAACAAGUGGUCUGUUGCAUGCGCCAUCUAUUGCCCCUGGCCUAGCACAAAUUCUAAUUAAAUGAUAAAAUUGAGUUGCGGAUUAGGAUUUGUUAGUUAUGUGCAUAAAUACUGCGGACGUAUUUGGUUUUUAUAUGUGCAGAUAAUUGAAACACCGAGCCAGCAACUGGCGCGGACUUUCCUUGAUGCGGCAAGUAGCAGGCCACCAUGGAGCAAACACAGUGAGGCUGAUGACAUCGCUCCAUGGAGGUCCAGAGUCGCAGCGGCGUGAUACUCCAAGGCGGUUGUUGGACUUUGGAGAAAAAAAAAACUAAGAAUGUAUAAUGAGGAACUUUGUCUGUAACAGCGAGAGCAGGAAGAAGCAAUUUAAUGGCUGGUAACGCAGUAGGCGGUACCUCAAGAGCCGACUGUACAUAGGUAUCAGAAAUAAAUUGCUGUAACUAUUGUAAAAAAGGAGUUCUGAAUAAGAGUUAUUACGAGAAGCAGUCAGACAGCGUCAGUUACUGAUGAAUGAUCACCAUAGGCGACAUUUUCUUCAUUAGCUGCACCGUACCCUCUUUCACUUGACGAAUUUAGUGAACAAUAAGACAGAGCCGAACUAUGCAAAUAAUAAAACUCAUCAGUGGGGCAGGUACAGCGCAAAUGCAGCUAGCAUAUCUUAAUCCUUUAACUGCUCUGGAUGUGUUAACGCGCGCGCCUUUGUACCUAUGCCUGUGUGCUCUGAGCGUGUUUACGCGCACCACCAGUCCUUCACCUGGCACUCUGAACAUGUCUACACGUAGACAUGUUCAGAGUACCAGGUAGAAGGACUGGUGGUAUGCGUAAACGCAUUCAGAGCACGCAGGGACAGGUACAAAGGCAUGUGCGUUAACACGUCCAGAGCAUUUAAAGGGUUGAUGGUGCUUCACCUGAAUUUGUUGGAGUUGGCCAUGAAUCUGGCAUGCUUCAGGGCUUUGUAAAAUAGGUGGAGCAUUUCAUUAAAUAAGUAAUACCAUCACAAAGAUAUCCAAUCUUUUUGUUUCUGGAUAAUCAUACUUCACAUCUCACUUUGGGAGCCAUUACCCUCUGCAGAGAUAAUUUCAUAACUCUCCUAGGUUUCCCAUUGCACACAAGACACGGAUUGCAAACUUUGGAUGUGUUAUUUUACAGACCUCUGAAGACAACCUAUAGUAGAGCUUGUACUGAUUUAUCUUGCUAAUCAUCCAGACCAAGUAAUAACAAUACAAGUCAUUGCAAGCUUUUUCAACAUUAUCUUUAACAAAGCUGCAUCUUUAAACAAUGCAAUCAAGGCCAUUAUAGACACAGGAACUGAGAAAUUAAUGAUGAAGACUUCACAGCAUCGCUAACAAUGGACACUCCUAUCAAUGAAAAUUCAACCAACACAGGUGCUCUACCUGGUAUGUCAGCAAACCCAACUGCAGAAUUUGAUGCACUGCAAGGUCAUUCAUCUAACUCUACUACUAGCUCUAUUUUACCCUUGUUAUCCCAAGCAGAACCUCUACCAGGGUCUUCAUCUAACUCUAUACCUACUUCUAUUUUAUCUCCAUUACCGCAAGCAGAACUUGGUGAAUUAUCAGCGCCCUCACAUACACCUAACUCCACAUCUACCUGUGCUUUACCUCUGUUACCUCAAGCUCCUCCUAAAGGAGGCGCAAAAGAGCAAAGAAAUAAGUUGCCAUAUCUACCCAUAACUAGCACGUCCACGAAAAUAGCUCUGGAAGAAAAGAAACAAAGAAAAUAGAACAACAGGAAGAAGAAAGAAAAAUGAAGAGAUGUAAAAAAUUGAGAGGGAAUGCAAAUGCAAAGGAAAAAAAUAUGAACGAAGGUCCUAAACGUAAACUUGCGUUCAGCAGAGGUUUUGAAGUGAAACAAAGAGAGGAUCCUAGAAUAGACUUCUGCAAAUCAUCUUCAGACACAUCCAAUGAAAUUGAGUACAUUGACAGUGUUUCCAAUUAUGUUGAUGAAAGAGACAGCAUCCUUUGUGAUGAGGUUGGAAAAACAGAAAUGUGGUCUCAGUGUUCCUGAUGCAAAGAGUGGGCUCAUGCUCCAUGUAUGGGCUUAAAUUACAGAAAGCAAAGUAAAAAGUAUUAUGUUUGUGACUUUUGUGAAAAAUAGAUAAUCAUCAAUAAAAUGUCUUUGUUUUCUAAAUGAAA